CCUGUGUGUGUGUGGGUUCCCUCCAGCUGCUCCGGCUUCAUUCCACUUCCAAAGACAUGCAAUUUAAGUGAAUUGGAAACUUUAAAUUGUCCAUAGGUGUGCAUG